rnacentral:lncRNA from 10 species
CUUUCUGUAGGUUCCUUCUGGAACUUAGCUCAGGCCCCACCCCUAGUGCUCAGUAAGGGUUUGUAGACACCUGGCUGACUUCCUGGCAGUCCCUUGGGCUCCGCUGAGGACUUCAGCCACGUAGAUUCCGGUCGAGGCCCCACAUGUCACCCGACAUUUGCAGGCACGUCAUGCUUCACAGAGCUCUUCUCACACAGCAGA